UACGUAGGGCGCAAGCGUUAUCCGGAAUUAUUGGGCGUAAAGAGCUCGUAGGCGGUUUGUCGCGUCUGCCGUGAAAGUCCGGGGCUCAACUCCGGAUCUGCGGUGGGUACGGGCAGACUAGAGUGAUGUAGGGGAGACUGGAAUUCCUGGUGUAGCGGUGAAAUGCGCAGAUAUCAGGAGGAACACCGGUGGCGAAGGCGGGUCUCUGGGCCGAUACUGACGCUGGAGGAAGCGAAAAGCGUGGGGAGCGAACAGG
rnacentral:rRNA from 1 species